GCCAAAGAAGCUUCUCAGUUGGUAGAGCAGAGGACUGAAAAUACUCGUGUCACCAGUUCAAAUCUGGUUCCUGGCA
rnacentral:tRNA from 1 species